rnacentral:rRNA from 1 species
GACAGAGGGUGCAAACGUUGCUCGGAAUCACUGGGCGUAAAGGGCGUGUAGGCGGGACGGUAAGUCGGGCGUGAAAUCCCUAGGCUCAACCUAGGAACUGCACUCGAAACUACCAUUCUUGAGUGUCGGAGAGGAAAGCGGAAUUCCUGGUGUAGAGGUGAAAUUCGUAGAUAUCAGGAGGAACACCAGUGGCGAAGGCGGCCUUCUGGACGAUAACUGACGCUGAGACGCGAAAGCGUGGGGAGCAAACAGG